UAUGUGAUCGUCUCUCGCAUAUCAAUAAGCGGAGGAAAAGAAACUAACAAGGAUUCCCUUAGUAACGGCGAGUGAAGCGGGAAGAGCUCAAAUUUGAAAUCUUCAAGGUUUUACCUUGACGAAUUGUAGUUUAAAGAAGUGUUUUCUGUUGAAGUUUUGGUAAAAGUUCUUUGGAAUAGGACAUCAUAGAGGGUGAGAAUCCCGUAUUUGACCAUUAUUUUCAGCUGUGUGAUACACUUUCAAAGAGUCGGAUUGUUUGGGAAUGCAGUCCAAAAUGGGUGGUAAAUUUCAUCUAAAGCUAAAUAUUGGCGAGAGACCGAUAGCGAACAAGUACCGUGAGGGAAAGAUGAAAAGAACUUUGAAAAGAGAGUUAAACAGUACGUGAAAUUGUCAAAAGGGAAGCGUUUGACACCAGUGUUGUUUUCUCGAAAAUCAAUUAAAAAGAGUUAGAUUUUGUUGUGUAUUGACCUUAACAGCUUGCAUUUCAAUUUUCUUGCUUUUUUUAAUGCACUUUUCGUUUAACAAGUCAACAUCAGUUUCCUUUUGUUGUAAAAAGGUCAUUGGAAGGUGGCUUUCUUUUCGGAGAAAGUGUUUACAGCCUUUGACUCCUGCAAUCGGAGAGACUGAGGUCUGCAGCGUAGAUCCUUCGGGGUUAGAUACAUUUGUGCUAAGUUAUAGCUUUUUAUAGACAACUUGUUGACUAUGAUUAGUCUUGUAGCUUACUCGCUUAUGCUAUUUUACCUACGCUUAGGAUGUUGAAGAUGUAGCACAUCAU
rnacentral:rRNA from 1 species